GAGGCCCUUUCCAUAUUCCGCUUCAUUCUCCCCUCCUGGCGUGCCUCAAGGAACGACCACUGUCCCCAGGUUACAGGUGCUUCUUCACCCCAACAAGGCUCAAUCAAGUGUGUUCUUCUCUGGGAAGCUGCAGACAUCUGACCCCAGGCCACAGAGUCAUACCCAGUCUGGCUCCCACAGCCCUCCCAGGCUGUCUGGUGUCAGUGCAGUGCUGUGGAUGGGAACACACCUCUACCGUGUUGAGCUGCUCUGAGGUUUAAAUGCGUUACUGCUAAUUGGGAUCUUGGAACAACUCCUGGUGCAUAGACACACACAGGACAGACUGGAAUAAAUACUGGUGGUUUAUCACAGGAAGGCUGGCCUCAGCUUGGGAGAGUGAGCGUGCACGCAUACACAGCCAGCUGAUUUAUUGUGAC
rnacentral:lncRNA from 1 species